rnacentral:rRNA from 1 species
CGGUCAACGGGGAGGAAGAUGGGGAUGACGUCUAAGUCCUCAUGGCCCUAUAUGCACAGGGCUAACACACGUGAUACAAUGGGCUGCACAAAGGGUUGUGACCCCGCGAGGGUGAGCCAAUCCCAAAAAACAGUCCUUAGUUCGGAUUGGAGUCUGCAAACUCGACUCCAUGAAGCUGGAAUCGCUAGUAAUAGUGGAUCAGCAUGCCACGGUGAAUACGUUCCCGGGCCUUGUACACACCGCCCGUCACACCAUGAGAGUUGGUUGUACCAGAAGUUGUUGGGCCAACCCGUUUGGGAGGCAGGCACAUAAGGUAUGGAUGAUGAUUGGGGUGAAGUCGUAACAAGUACC